rnacentral:rRNA from 1 species
GAUGAACGCUGGCGGCGUGCCUAAUACAUGCAAGUCGAGCGAACGGACGAGAAGCUUGCUUUUCUGAUGUUAGCGGCGGACGGGUGAGUAACACGUGGAUAACCUACCUAUAAGACUGGGAUAACUUCGGGAAACCGGAGCUAAUACCGGAUAAUAUUUUGAACCGCAUGGUUCAAAAGUGAUAGACGGUCUUGCUGUCACUUAUAGAUGGAUCCGCGCUGCAUUAGCUAGUUGGUAAGGUAACGGCUUACCAAGGCAACGAUGCAUAGCCGACCUGAGAGGAGGAGCGGCCACACUGGAACGGAGACGAGGUCCGGACUCGUACGGGAGGCAGGAGUAGGGAAUGUUCCACAAUGGGCGAAAGGCGGACGGAGCAAAGCCGCGUGAGUUAUGAAGGUCUUCGGAUCGUAAAACUCUGUUAUUAGGGAAGAACAUAUGUGUAAGUAACUGGGCAGAUCUUGACGGUACCGAAUCAGAAAGCCACGGCUAACUACGUG